UACGGGGGGGGCAAGCGUUGUUCGGAAUUACUGGGCGUAAAGGGCUCGUAGGUGGCCAACUAAGUCAGACGUGAAAUCCCUCAGCUUAACUGGGGAACUGCGUCUGAUACUGGAUGGCUUGAGUUUGGGAGAGGGAUGCGGAAUUCCAGGUGUAGCGGUGAAAUGCGUAGAUAUCAAGAGGAACACCUGAGGCGAAGGCGGGUUGCUAGGCUGACACUGACGCUGAGUGCGCGAAAGCCAGGGGAGCAAACGGG
rnacentral:rRNA from 1 species